GAGGGCAUAGCUCAGUAGUAGAGCAUGUGCCCAGCACGCACGAGGUCCUGGGUGCAAUCCCCAGGCCUCCA
rfam:Camelus ferus unplaced genomic scaffold scaffold347, whole genome shotgun sequence.